rnacentral:rRNA from 1 species
GACGAACGCUGGCGGCGUGCCUAACACAUGCAAGUCGAACGAAGUUUUUAUGGAAUGCGACUUCGGUCAAAUGAAGUUUAAACUUAGUGGCGGACGGGUGAGUAACGCGUGAGCAACCUGCCUUUCAGAGGGGGAUAACGUUUGGAAACGAACGCUAAUACCGCAUGAUAUAACGUAAUCGCAUGAUUGUGUUAUCAAAGGAGCAAUCCGCUGAAAGAUGGGCUCGCGUCCGAUUAGGCAGUUGGUGGGGUAACGGGCCCACCAAACCGACGAUCGGUAGCCGAACUGAGAGGUUGAACGGCCACAUUGGAACUGAGAUACGGUCCAGACUCCUACGGGAGGCAGCAGUGGGGAAUAUUGGGCAAUGGGCGAAAGCCUGACCCAGCAACGCCGCGUGAAGGAAGAAGGUCUUCGGAUUGUAAAC